rnacentral:rRNA from 1 species
GAUGAACGCUGGCGGCGUGCCUAAUACAUGCAAGUCGAGCGAACAGACGAGGAGCUUGCUCCUCUGACGUUAGCGGCGGACGGGUGAGUAACACGUGGAUAACCUACCUAUAAGACUGGGAUAACUUCGGGAAACCGGAGCUAAUACCGGAUAAUAUAUUGAACCGCAUGGUUCAAUAGUGAAAGACGGUUUUGCUGUCACUUAUAGAUGGAUCCGCGCCGCAUUAGCUAGUUGGUAAGGUAACGGCUUACCAAGGCAACGAUGCGUAGCCGACCUGAGAGGGUGAUCUGCCACACUGGAACUGAGACACGGUCCAGACUCCUACGGGAGGCAGCAGUAGGGAAUCUUCCGCAAUGGGCGAAAGCCUGACGGAGCAACGCCGCGUGAGUGAUGAAGGUCUUCGGAUCGUAAAACUCUGUUAUUAGGGAAGAACAAAUGUGUAAGUAACUAUGCACGUCUUGAUGGUACCUAAUCAGAAAGCCACGGCUAACUACGUG